GGCACAAAAAUGGCAUUUCAUCAAUCCCAACAACCUGAUCCAUGUGUCUGGGGAUAUGAGAUGAGCACUGAUAUUGCCAUGAUAAAGGAAGACAAGAUUUUGUAACAGCACAUAGAGAACUGAGCAACAUGGAGAGAAUGCAGAUAAAAGCAGAGCUUUCUUACCAUCUCCCGUCAUACUGAAUGGAAAAGUAUCCUUACAUACCUACUCUAUUUGGUUAAGUUUUGGUGCACAGAAUAGUGGAAUUCUUUGAAGAAAAUUUGGGUUUCAUUGUGGCUUUAACACAGAGUGUCCCAGAAAAGGAAAAGUUGUCAAAAGAUAUGAAGAUACAAGGAG